rnacentral:lncRNA from 1 species
AACUUUUGGACCGUUUCUUCAACAACCAAUACUUGUGAGUUCAUUCUCACUUAUUUUGAAUUCUUUCUUUUUUCUUCUCUUUUUUACAUUUUUUUUUUUGUUGGAAAUAACCUUCCCCGACACGUGUUUUUUGCAUAAUGUUUGAUCAAAAGGAAUUCCCUCUAAGUCAUGCUCCACUAUACUUUAAGAAUAAGGGUAUGGAUAGUCCUAUUCUAGGCUAGGUAAGGAUAAUGUGGCUAACAAAUAAAAUAGGCUAAAUAAGGCUCAAAGGGGUUAAACCUACAAAACAUAUGCAAGGGAUUAAGGCUUUUUGGCUUUGGUGGUAACUAAACAACUUCAUCUUGUUAUAUGUUAUGCACUCAAUUUUAAGCUUUGAAUGAAACGGGCAUGAGUUCUAGUAUUUGGAACUAAAAUGAUGAAAUAGCAUUCUAAGUAGCAACCAAGCAAAGAAAUAAUGAGAUCUUCCAACGACCUUAGAAAACAAAAACAUCACAGAUUAAUAAUUCUCCAAAUAAAGUUUAGGCGCAAGUCUCUCAGGAUUGUAGGGUUAGUUU